rnacentral:rRNA from 1 species
ACUCAAAUGAAUUGACGGGAGCUUGCACAAGCGGUGGAGCGUGUGGCUCAAUUCGUCGCUAAGCGAAGAACCUUACCCAGACUAGAAAUCCUACUGCACGCCUAGCGAAAGCUAGGAAGCCUUCGAGGGUGUAGGACAGGUGAUGCAUGGCUGUCGUCAGUUCGUGGUUUGAACCGUUCCCUUCAGUGGGGUAACGAACGCAACCCUCGUUGCCUGUUACACGUAUCAGGCGAGACUGCCCCCUCACGGGGGAGGAAGGUGGGGAUGACGCCAAGUCAGCAUGUCCCUCUGAUGUCUGGGGCUGCACACGCGCUACAAUCGCCGUUACAAAGGGGCGCAAUAGGGUAACCUGGAGCAAAUCCUUAAAAGCGGCGCCAGUUCGGAUUGAGGUCUGCAACCCGACCUCAUGAAGCCGGAAUCGCUAGUAAUCGUGGGUCAGCCAUACCACGGUGAAUACGUUCUCAAGCUUUGUACACACCGCCCGU